AGGUAUGUCUGUGUAAUCUGUAGAGGACAGUGUCUGAAGAAGUGGGCUGCUGGAGAUCAAAACCACAUCAUCCAUGUGUCUGAACUGAGAUAUGAUGUGAAGCGCAAACAUACUUCUCCUCCUUAAUACAUUCCUGUGCAUGCCAUUUCCAUUUAAGAAGGAAGCUGGCAAAGGAUUGUUAAGGACUACUGAGCCUGCAUAAAGGGUGCUAAUGGUGGAAGCCAUCCAAAGCAGGGACGGUCCUGUCUCUCAGGAGCUUGUCCUUCUGAGUGCCAAGGGACUCUUUCUUGCAGAAUCUAUCCAGCCUUUUGGAAGAUACCUGUCAAAGAAGCUAUUCCCAGAACCCACUUUGAGAUUGCAGUUCAUAAGGAGCUCUUUUGUUCUCUUCAAAAGGAAAUUUAAAUAUCUGUGCAGUACAGUCAGGGGACUAGUUCAGUAGUCUUGAGGGAAGCUGAGUUAUUUGACAGUGCAAAUGUAUCCAUUAAGAAUUACAUUUAGGAUUACUUGGAAAUCCAGUUUUCAUGUUACACGCUGAGGACAUCUUAAUUCAAACUGAUGGUUAAUCUUCCAUCAAAAUAUUGUAUCACACUAUGAGAAAUCAAUGUAAAAGGGUUUUUUUGUAGCAUAAUAUGUAACCUGAGAAUUUUUGAAGUUCUGGCUAGUGCAUGAUUCUGAUUAAUAGAUCUCAACUGGCUUAUUGUAACAAAAUAUAUUAAUAAUAAAGACUGU